rnacentral:rRNA from 1 species
CCGGCGCACGGGUGCGUAACGCGUAUGCAACCUACCUUUCACAGGGGGAUAGCCCGAAGAAAUUUGGAUUAAUACCCCAUAAUAUUAUUGGAUGGCAUCAUUUGAUAAUUAAAACUGCGGUGGUGAAAGAUGGGCAUGCGUCCUAUUAGCUAGUUGGAGUGGUAACGGCACCCCAAGGCUACGAUAGGUAGGGGUCCUGAGAGGGAGAUCCCCCACACUGGUACUGAGACAGGGACCAGACUCCUACGGGAGGCAGCAGUGAGGAAUAUUGGUCAAUGGUCGGAAGACUGAACCAGCCAUGCCGCGUGCAGGAAGAAUGCCUUAUGGGUUGUAAACUGCUUUUAUAUGGGAAGAAUAAGGCGUACGUGUACGUUGAUGACGGUACCAUAUGAAUAAGCAUCGGCUAACUCCGUGCCAGCAGCCGCGGUAAUACGGAGGAUGCGAGCGUUAUUCGGAAUCAUUGGGUUUAAAGGGUCUGUAGGCGGGCUAUUAAGUCAGGGGUGAAAGGUUUCAGCUUAACUGAGAAAUUGCCUUUGAUACUGGUAGUCUUGAAUAUCUGUGAAGUUCUUGGAAUGUGUAGUGUAGCGGUGAAAUGCUUAGAUAUUACACAGAACACCGAUUGCGAAGGCAGGGGACUAACAGACAAUUGACGCUGAGAGACGAAAGCGUGGGGAGCGAACAGGAUUAGAUACCCUGGUAGUCCACGCUGUAAACGAUGGAUACUAGCUGUUUGGCGCAAGCUGAGUGGCUAAGCGAAAGUGAUAAGUAUCC